GGCCACAGCUCAGUGGCAGAACAUCUGCUCUGAAUGCAGGAGGUCCCAAGUUUAACUCCUGGCAUCACCA